GGGGAUGUAGCUCAGUGGUAGAGCACCCUUGGGUUCAAAUCCCAAUACCUAACAGGGGUGGGGGUAAUGGUGGUAAGGUCCCUCCAUUACCU
rnacentral:tRNA from 1 species